AUGCAGUCGUACGAGAAAGAGAUUGCUUGCAAUCUUGAGUAAAGUGGCGAACGGGUGAGUAACGCGUGGGUAAUCUGCCCUUGAAUCCGGAAUAACCUUUCGAAAGAGGGACUAAUACCGGACAAUAUCUGUAUUUUUUCGGAAAUGUAGAUUAAAGGCGGCCUCUGAUUCAAGCUGCUGUUUAAGGAUGAGCCCGCGUACCAUUAGCUUGUUGGUGAGGUAAAAGCUCACCAAGGCUGCGAUGGUUAGCUGGUCUGAGAGGAUGAUCCGCCACACUGGAACUGAGACACGGUCCAGACUCCUACGGGGGGCAGCAGUGAGGAAUUUUGCGCAAUGGGGGAAACCCUGACGCAGUGACGCCGCGUGAGUGAAGAAGGUCUUUUUGGUCGUAAAGCUCUGUCAAGCGGGAAGAAAGUUUCUGAUGUAAAUAGCAUCAGUUAUUGACGGUACCGCUGAAGGAAGCACCGGCUAACUCCGUGCCAGCAGCCGCGGUAAUACGGAGGGUGCAAGCGUUAUUCGGAAUUAUUGGGCGUAAAGGGCGCGCAGGCGGAUUUGUAAGUCAGAUGUGAAAGCCCGGGGCUCAACCCUGGAAGUGCAUUCGAAACUACAAAUCUUGAGUAUGGUAGAGGGAGACGGAAUUCCUGGUGUAGAGGUGAAAUUCGUAGAUAUCAGGAGGAACACCCGUGGCGAAGGCGGUUUCCUGGGCCAAUACUGACGCUGAGGCGCGAAGGCAUGGGUAGCGAACAGGAUUAGAUACCCUGGUAGUCCAUGCAGUAAACGGUGAUCACUAGGUGUAGUGAGCGUUAGCUUACUGUGCCGCAGCAAACGCAUUAAGUGAUCCGCCUGGGGGAGUACGGACGCAAGUUUAAAACUCAAAGGAAUUGACGGGGGCCCGCACAAGCGGUGGAGCAUGUGGUUCAAUUCGACGCAACGCGAAGAACCUUACCUGGAUUUGACAUCUGUGGAAUUUCCAUGAAAUUGGAAAGUGCCCUUUCGGGGA
rnacentral:rRNA from 1 species